AACGAACGCUGGCGGCGCGUCUUAAACAUGCAAGUCGAACGAUCUGUAGCAAUACAGGGAGUGGCGGACGGGGUGAGGAACACGUAGGAAUCUACCUUGAAGAGCGGGACAACUUUGGGAAACCGGGGCUAAUACCGCAUAGUACAGAGAUGUUAAAGGGCUAGCAAUAGUCGCUUCGAGAUGAGCCUGCGGUCUAUCAGCUUGUUGGUGAGGUAAUGGCUCACCAAGGCUACGACGGAUAGCCGGUCUGAGAGGAUGAUCGGCCACACUGGCACUGAGACACGGGCCAGACUCCUACGGGAGGCAGCAGUUAAGAAUCUUGCGCAAUGGGGGAAACCCUGACGCAGCGACGCCGCGUGAAGGAUGAAGGCUUUCGGGUUGUAAACUUCGGUAGACUGGGAAGAAGAAAUACGUUCGUUGAGGGCGUAUAGUGACGGUACCAGUACUGAAGCCCCGGCUAAUUACGUGCCAGCAGCCGCGGUAAU
rnacentral:rRNA from 1 species